rnacentral:rRNA from 1 species
GACGAACGCUGGCGGCGUGCUUAACACAUGCAAGUCGAACGGAAAGGCCCUGCUUGCAGGGUCCUCGAGUGGCGAACGGGUGAGUAACACGUGGGUGAUCUGCCCUGCACUUCGGGAUAAGCCUGGGAAACUGGGUCUAAUACCGGAUAGGAGCCAUUUUUAGUGUGAUGGUUGGAAAGUUUUUUCGGUGUAGGAUGAGCUCGCGGCCUAUCAGCUUGUUGGUGGGGUAAUGGCCUACCAAGGCGGCGACGGGUAGCCGGCCUGAGAGGGUGGACGGCCACAUUGGGACUGAGAUACGGCCCAGACUCCUACGGGAGGCAGCAGUGGGGAAUAUUGCACAAUGGGCGCAAGCCUGAUGCAGCGACGCCGCGUGGGGGAUGACGGCCUUCGGGUUGGAAACUCCGUUCGCUAGGGACGAAGCUUUUUGUGACGGUACCUAGAUAAGAAGCACCGGCUAACUACGUG